CUACGGGUCGCUCCAGUGAGGAAUAUUGCACAAUGGAGGAAACUCUGAUGCAGCAACGCCGCGUGGAGGAUGACGCAUUUCGGUGUGUAAACUCCUUUUAUAUGUCAAGAAAAUGACGGUAGCAUAUGAAUAAGCUCCGGCUAACUCCGUGCCAGCAGCCGCGGUAAUACGGAGGGAGCAAGCGUUACUCGGAAUCACUGGGCGUAAAGGACGCGUAGGCGGGAUAGAAAGUCAGGUGUGAAAUCCUAUGGCUCAACCAUAGAACUGCACUUGAAACUUCUAACCUAGAGUAUGGGAGGGGAAGAUGGAAUUAGUGGUGUAGGGGUAAAAUCCGUAGAUAUCACUAGGAAUACCAAAAGCGAAGGCGAUCUUCUGGAACAAUACUGACGCUAAGGCGUGAAAGCGUGGGGAGCAAACAGGAUUAGAUACCCUGGUAGUC
rnacentral:rRNA from 1 species